rfam:Gorilla gorilla gorilla genomic chromosome, chr1, whole genome shotgun sequence
GCCGGGUGGGGUGGCGCUCACCUGUAAUCCCAGCUACUCAGGAGGCUGAGGCAGGAGAAUUGCUUGAACCCGGGAGGCGGAGGUUGCAGUGAGCCAAGAUAGCGCCACUGCACUCCAGCCUGGGCGACAGAGUGAGACUCUGUCUCAA